GAUGAACGCUGGCGGCGUGCCUAAUACAUGCAAGUCGAGCGAAAAGACGAGGAGAGUGCUCCUCUGCGGUUAGCGGCGGACGGGUGAGUAAGAAGUGGAUAACAUACUACUAAGACUGGGAGAACUACGGGAAAAAGGAGACAAUAAUGGAGAAUAUAUUGAACGGGUGGGUUCAAGAGAGCAAGACGGUUUUGCCGUCACAUAGAGCUGGUGUGGCGUCGCAUUAGCUAGUUGGUAAGGUAACGGCUUACCAAGGCGACGAUGCGUAGCUGGUCUGAGAGGAUGAUCAGCCACACUGGAACUGAGACACGGUCCAGACUCCUACGGGAGGCAGCAGUGGGGAAUAUUGGACAAUGGGCGCAAGCCUGAUCCAGCCAUACCGCGUGAGUGAAGAAGGCCUUCGGGUUGUAAAGCCCUUUUGUUGGGAAAGAAAAGCAGCAGGUUAAUCCCCCGCUGUUCUGACGGUACCCAAAGAAUAAGCCCCGGCUAACUUCGUG
rnacentral:rRNA from 1 species